rnacentral:rRNA from 1 species
CUCCACCAGAGUACUACGAGCCACAGCUUAAAACUCAAAGGACUUGGCGGUGCCCCAAAUCCACCCAGAGGAGCCUGUUCUAUAAUCGAUAACCCACGCUAAACCUCACCACCCUUUGCCUAUCAGCUUAUAUACCACCGUCAUCAGUUUACCCUGUGAAAGAGUCAAAGUAAACGAAAUUGAUUACUCAAAUACGUCAGGUCAAGGUGUAGCAUAUAAGGCGGGAAGAAAUGGGCUACAUUUUCUUAAAAAGAAUAUUUACGAAUUAUUUAUGAAAACACAUUUGAAGGAGGAUUUGAUAGUAAGAGUAGACAAUGUAUACUACCCUUAAACUGGCCCUGGGGCGCGCACA